CCUACGGGAGGCAGCAGUGAGGAAUAUUGGUCAAUGGACGCAAGUCUGAACCAGCCAUGUCGCGUGCAGGACGACGGCCCUAUGGGUUGUAAACUGCUUUUGUAUGGGAAGAAAGUUAGCUACGAGUAGCUAUUUGCCGGUACCAUACGAAUAAGGAUCGGCUAACUCCGUGCCAGCAGCCGCGGUAAU
rnacentral:rRNA from 1 species